rnacentral:lncRNA from 10 species
CCCCGCGCUCCCCCUCCCGCCCCCAAACUGCAGAUUUUUAAGUUGUGCAGACGUGGAACAAUUCCUCGGAGCCAGCUGCUCCAAGCUAAGGCGCCCAGUGUUCCCUGGGUUCCUACCCGCAGCAUACGCCCUGCCAGCUGCCCCCAAGCCAGCACCCGCUGACCACUCACCUCAGGCAAGCACCUAGGAAGACGAUGCAGAUUCAAGCUCCAGACCUUGAGCCAAGCGCUGGGGAGGGAAUGGGGGCAAAGAGAUGGUGGAAAACACUUUCCUGAACUUACUGAAUACCCUAUGUUAUGUGUGGGUUUUCUAAUUGUUCUUUGCUUAAUGAAAAACCCACGUUGGAAAUCAGAAAAAGGCAGUAAUCCUCACCGUAUCUUGUGGGCUUCAAAGAGGAGGUUUUCCCCUUAAAGGGAGUUUUGGUCCAGAGGAGAGGCUAACAGCAGGCAGGAAGGGCAGAGGAAAAGAUAAAGCCUAGGGUGGUCUUCCCCCUGAGGCCUGGAGCCCACCAAGCUCCAACAGUUUCAUUUGGCUUCUGGGAAGCAAAGUACAGAUGCAUGUGUCUGCAGAGCACUGUUCUGAGCCAUUUGUCCCUAAUUCCAUGGUUCUUUGGUUCCUCCAAUCUUGUCUCCUCUCCUGUGGAAGAGGAUCCAAAGCAUUGGUCCACACUGCUAUUUACAAGUGGCUGAAGAAGGGUAAUCAUGUGAAGCCAAUGAAAUAAUAAAAAGGACCACAUCGGAUGACCCCUGAGGCAGGUCUGCUCCCCAAAAGUUUACUCUUGAAUGUUGACCAAGGUUGAGCUAGGCAAAGUGGUAAAUUCACACACACGACAAUAAGCUCCUUGAAGACUGAAUUUCCAGGAACUUCUGUUGGAUCUGCAUGUUUGUGAAGUGAAUUACUGAAGGCUGCCCAGUUUCAUCUGAUCCUAGUCAAAACCUAAAUCCCUUAUUUCUACGCUACCUUUUGCCAGCACCUGAAAAUGAUGCCAGGUUUCUGGAAUCCACGGCAGCAAUGGGUGAUAAGUCUCCAGCAUCUGGGUGACAGCAGACUGACUCUGCUCUCAAGUCUCAUUAAUCCACAUUGUAAGUCACACUAUGUCCCUUUGGCUCCAUUUUCUUACCUGUAAAAUGGGGAUUUUGAACUUACUAAUAUGCCAGACACAAAGCUAAAGAAAGGAGCUGAAGAGACAGGAUAAAAAAGACGAAUAAUAGGUUCCUCCCUGUAAGAGCUCACAAUUCAGUGGGCUGACAUCAUCGGCCUUAUCCACCAGAUAGAGUGUUAGAAUAACAGGAUAGCAGGAUAGAGAGUUGAGAGAUAAAAGCACCAUAUAAUGUGACAGGAACUGCCACUUGUCACUCAAUUUCCAUUCUGCCCUGCUAUCUUAGUAACAGAACUCCUGUUUUUAUGGGGCAGACAUGUCCCCAACUAAACACAUUAUAUUUCCCAGCCUCUCUUGCAACUAGUGUAGAGAAACCAACUUUUAGAACCAGAUGUAAGCCUAUACAUUCUCUUAUGUUUCCAGGGAGUCUUUUUAAAAAGGGGAGCCAUGCCCUUUUCCCUUUUGUCUUCCAACCUCCUCCCUAGAAUGUGGAUGAGGUGACUGGAGUUCUUGCAGCCAUUUGGGGCCAUGAGAACAAUGGGUACACCUUAGGGAUGGCAAAGAGUGAGCUAAUUGGAAUAUGGGGCCCUCACCUCUUUGCAGGGCUAUUUUAUCCAUGUUGUAUACUGCAAAUCACUGUACUUCUCUCACCUGAGAAACAAACAGCUAACUUGUGUAUAGAUGUGUGUGUAUGUGUGUAUUAAUGCAACUGAUUCCACUCUCAACUGAUGAACGAAAAUAUUUAAUAUUAAUAAGUAUUACACAUAAUCCCUACUUUAUUUAGCUCCUAAAGAUCUCAUGAGAUUUAUUUUAAAACUAACAUGCUUCAAGAAUUUUUUUAACUUCUGGAAUAUCAAGUGAUAUGGUGGUGCUGAGCAAUGCAGGUAUUUUCACAACUAUCUUUAGGAGAUUCAAAUCAAUGCUUGGGCUCAGGUCACUUUAUGACUGAGAAGUCUGGAAAAUUGUAUUUUCUUUUGAAGUAGCAGGUGAACUUGUAGGACAAUAAAUCAGCUAGACAUGACUUGAGCCCUCAUGUACCCUCAUUCACAAGCAUAUGCACACGCUUACCUGCAUGGAUGGACAUGUACUUUCAGGAAGCCACACUAUGCAUCACACGCAUGCAUAGCCACACACAGGUACACUUUCACAUCCAUACUCAAUAGCAGGCUCCAGUGGAUUUCCUGCAAUUUUGAAGGCCCUGGAUUUUCCCUUCACCAGAACACUACGUUAUUAUGAGUUAUUAUUUUCAAGGACUUGGUUAUACAAGGCUGGAAGUGGUGUGAUGAGUCAUAAAGAGCAAGAGCAAGAAAGCUUAGUAGUCAGUCCUUGAUGGUGAAGGUGGAUUCAUGGAAAAGCAGAGAAAGGCAGAUUCCCUACUACACAUAAGUUCCAGGGUCAGAAGGAGAAUCCUGAUGAGCCAGGGGCAGUCUGAACAUCCAGAGGCCUCACCUUCAUGGAGGAUACUGCAUGAGAGUGUGAGUUAAGCUCCUCCCUGAGCUCCUGUCCUCCCCGCUCCAGGCCUGCUCCUCUAGACAAGCAAUUUUCAAUUGAUUCGAUCACUGCUUGUAUAUUUUGCUAUCUCUUUGAGCUCAGCCUCUAGCUCUGAUCCCAGUCCUUUGAGAACCUCCUCAGUGCUGUACACUAUGCUCAGGAUUUAAGAAAACACAAAGAUGAAGAAGACACAGUCUCUGCUCUCAAGAAGUGACAUUCUAUCAAAUAAUUGAGAAAUAAAUAUUGAUAGCCAACUCCAUAAAAAUAGAUAGAUAAUUACAGGAGUUGAUACAAAUCGUAGAACCUUGGCAAAUUCUCAGUUGUCUCAUCUGCAACUGAAGAAUAAUAACUUCUGCCAUCAGCAACUUGUGAGCUUAGAGAAACUACCCUCAUAAAUUAUUUAGGGAUUCCCUCUGCUACUCAACAAACCUUUUACUCAACUCUAGUUUAUUCAACAUUUCCCAGAAAACCCCAUCCAAGUCUUCCCCACUCUAAACCCUGGAAAUCUUCAUACCAAUUCAAUCCCCAGGUCUCAUUCACAGCAGAGAAUUUGUCUACCUACUUACUAAGAAAAAAGGCCAGAAGCAGUGGCUCACGCCUGUAAUCCCAGCACUUUGGGAGGCUGAGGUGGGCAGAUCAUGAGGUCAGGAGUUUGAGACCAGCCUGGCCAAUAUGGUGAAACCCUAUCUCUACUAAAACUACAAAAAUUAGCCAGGCAUGGUGGCACAUGCCUGUAGUCCCAGCUACUCGGGAGGCUGAGGCAGAAGAAUCACUUGAACCCAGGAGGCAGAGGUUGCAGUGAGCCAAGAUAACACCACUGCACUCCAGCCUGGGUGACAGAGAGGGACUCGAUCUCAAAAAAAAAAAAAAAAAAAAAGAAAGAAAGAAAGAAAGAAAAUAGAGGCCACAGGAGUUAUGGCCGCUCAGUUUCCAUCUUGUCUAUCUUGAAGUCUCCCUUUAUCUCCUGCCUUGAAGAAAGAUGCUUAUAUCCAAGUACUUUGGAGAGUCAAAACAAUAAUGACCAAGAAAUCCAAGACCAUAAAAAAAUAGAGUUUUAGGCCGGGCGCGGUGGCUCACGCCUGUAAUCCCAGCACUUUGGGAGGCUGAGGCAGGCGGAUCACGAGGUCAGGAGAUCGAGAUCAUCCUGGCUAACACGGUGAAACCCCGUCUCUGCUAAAAAUACAAAAAAUUAACCGGGCUUGGUGGCCGGCGCCUGUAGUCCCAGCUACUCCAGAGGCUGAGGCAGGAGAAUGGCGUGAACCCGGGAGGCAGAGCUUGCAGUGAGCCGAGAUCGCGC